GGAUGUGAGGGCGAUCUGGCUGCGACAUCUGUCACCCCAUUGAUUGCCAGGGUUGAUUCGGCUGAUCUGGCUGGCUAGGCGGGUGUCCCCCUCCUCCCUCACUGAUCCAUGUGCAUCCCUCCCGAAGCUGCACGCUCGGUCGAAGAGGACGACCUUCCCCCUGAGGAGAGGACCGGUCUUCGGUCAAGGGUAUACGAGUAGCUGCACUCCCCUGCUAGAACCUCCAAACAAGCUUGCAAGAAAGAUCUUGAGGGAAAUAUAUAGUAGUGA
rnacentral:snRNA from 1 species